AUUAAAUUCUUAAACAAGACACCAUAGUUUAAACAAAACGAGGUCAUAUAAGUAUGUACACAUAGCAUUGCAUGACAAUAAGAAUAGGAUAUGACUACAAAAUAACAUAUGAACCAAAAAGAUCUAUGAAUCCUAAAAUUAGAAGUCAAAGAGCAUGAGCAACUAGAAAUCCAUGUGGUAAAGGAUGGAACAACAAUAUGGUAUAAGUUUGAGAAAUAACAACUAAAGGAGUGUGAGAUCAAGAGUAGAAGAACCAGAAGGUCAACAAACAAUUGGAGACUAUUAACUGAAACUAAAUGAGCAUGAAAAUAAUUAACGAAACUACAAAAAAGAACACGAUUAGGAACAUUGCUGACAUAAUAACAUAAAAUAACUAGAUAUGCAUAAUGAUAAAUAAACAAGGCAACUGAAGGGCAUAAGAUUAGGAACCAAGAUGUGAAAAUCUAAAUGGGCAAGAAGAACAUAAUGGAAUUAAUGAAGGACACAAUAUUUGGAAUUAAGACUAAAAUAACUAAAAUGCAAAGAAUUGAGAACAAUAAGGUAAUAGUUAUGGAACUAUCAGAUAAAAAGAUAAAAUAAUGAAAUGUUGAUAAUUGG
rnacentral:lncRNA from 1 species